rnacentral:rRNA from 1 species
UAGGGAAUCUUCGGCAAUGGGGGCAACCCCUGACCGAGCAACGCCGCGUGAGUGAAGAAGGUUUUCGGAUCGUAAAGCUCUGUUGUAAGAGAAGAACUGUGAGAAGAGUGGAAAGUUUCUCACUUGACGGUAUCUUACCAGAAAGGGACGGCUAACUACGUGCCAGCAGCCGCGGUAAUACGUAGGUCCCGAGCGUUGUCCGGAUUUAUUUGGGCGUAAAGCGAGCGCAGGCGGUUUGAUAAGUCUGAAGUAAAAGGCUGUGGCUUAACCAUAGUACGCUUUGGAAACUGUCAAACUUGAGUGCAGAAGGGGAGAGUAGGAAUUCCAUGUGUAGCGGUGAAAUGCGUAGAUAUAUGGAGGAACACCGGUGGCGAAAGCGGCUCUCUGGUCUGUAACUGA